AUGCAGAGAGGCUGGUUCGAACCCAGGACCUCUUGGCACAAGUGGGGAGGACUUCACCACUGCGCCAGGCCUGCCCUUGCUAAUAAUCAGUCAGCUAUUGCCAUUGCUAAUAACCCAGUUCAGCAUGAUAGGACAAAACAUGUGGAAAUUGAUCGCUUCUUCAUUAAGGAGAAACUUGAUGCUGGGAUCAUCAGUCUUACUCAUGUCAGCUCUGGGCAACAGUUUGCAGAUUGCUUGACAAAGGGACUGGGAACGAAGGACUGUAACUUGGCAUGUGACAAGAUGGGGAUGAUAGAUAUCUACCACCCAUCUUGA
rnacentral:rRNA from 1 species